UAACAAGGAUUCCCCUAGUAACGGCGAGUGAAGCGGGAAGAGCUCAAAUUUGUAAUCUGGCCCUUUCAGGGUCCGAGUUGUAAUCUCGAGAAGUGUUUUCCGCGUCGGACUGCAUACAAGUCUAUUGGAAUAUAGCGUCAUAGUGGUGAGAGCCCCGUAACUGAUGCAGAUGCCCGAUGCUUUGUGAUACACUUUCGAAGAGUCGAGUUGUUUGGGAAUGCAGCUCAAAUUGGGUGGUAAAUUCCAUCUAAAGCUAAAUAUUGGCGAGAGACCGAUAGCGAACAAGUACCGUGAGGGAAAGAUGAAAAGCACUUUGGAAAGAGAGUUAACAGUACGUGAAAUUGUUGGAAGGGAAACGCUUGAAAUCAGACUUGCUAUUCGGAAUUCAGCCGCAAGGUGUACUUUUCGAUUUGCAGGCCAGCAUCAGUUUUUGGGGGUGGAAAAGGGUGGAGAGAAGGUAGCAACCCCGGUUGUGUUAUAGCUCUUUACUGGAUUCAUCUUUGGGGACUGAGGAUCGCAGUGCGCAUUUAUUUGCAAACCUCUCGAGGUUUUCGUACUUAGGAUGCUGGUGGAAU
rnacentral:rRNA from 1 species